UGGGGAAUAUUGGACAAUGCGGGAAACCGUGAUCCAGCAAUGCCGCGUGAGUGAUGAAGGCCUUAGGGUUGUAAAGCUCUUUUACCAGGGAUGAUAAUGACAGUACCUGGAGAAUAAGCUCCGGCUAACUCCGUGCCAGCAGCCGCGGUAAUACGGAGGGAGCUAGCGUUGUUCGGAAUUACUGGGCGUAAAGCGCACGUAGGCGGACUAUUAAGUCAGGGGUGAAAUCCCGGGGCUCAACCCCGGAACUGCCCUUGAUACUGGUAGUCUUGAGUUCGAGAGAGGUGAGUGGAAUUCCGAGUGUAGAGGUGAAAUUCGUAGAUAUUCGGAGGAACACCAGUGGCGAAGGCGGCUCACUGGCUCGAUACUGACGCUGAGGUGCGAAAGUGUGGGGAGCAAACAGGAUUAGAUACCCCCGUAGUCC
rnacentral:rRNA from 1 species